UGGGGAAUUUUGGACAAUGGGCGAAAGCCUGAUCCAGCAAUGCCGCGUGUGUGAAGAAGGCCUUCGGGUUGUAAAGCACUUUUGUCCGGAAAGAAAUCCUUGGCUCUAAUACAGUCGGGGGAUGACGGUACCGGAAGAAUAAGCACCGGCUAACUACGUGCCAGCAGCCGCGGUAAUACGUAGGGUGCAAGCGUUAAUCGGAAUUACUGGGCGUAAAGCGUGCGCAGGCGGUUUGCUAAGACCGAUGUGAAAUCCCCGGGCUCAACCUGGGAACUGCAUUGGUGACUGGCAGGCUAGAGUAUGGCAGAGGGGGGUAGAAUUCCACGUGUAGCAGUGAAAUGCGUAGAGAUGUGGAGGAAUACCGAUGGCGAAGGCAGCCCCCUGGGCCAAUACUGACGCUCAUGCACGAAAGCGUGGGGAGCAAAACAGGAUUAGAUACCCUGGUAGUCCACGCCCUAAACGAUGUCAACUAGUUGUUGGGGAUUCAUUUCCUUAGUAACGUAGCUAACGCGUGAAGUUGACCGCCUGGGGAGUACGUCGCAAGAUUAAAACUC
rnacentral:rRNA from 1 species